GGAGUAAAAACACAGAUGAUGGAGGGAAAGAAUUCAGAAUCACCAGAACCCAGCUGUGUGUCCAUGAAGAGUGACCGGUCAACGGACCGUCCAAUUAAUUUCAGAGACAGAGACAGUUCUACUGAUCAGAGCACUGUCAGGGUUCUAGUCCUCCCUCUCUCCUGCAUUUGGCCACAAGUUUUCAUCAACAUCACAUCUUGUAUCUUCUCUGGCGAUGCACCUUGGAAAGUAUCUUCUGGAAUGUCUACUCCAACCCUGGCAGUCUUCAGGAGAAAUGUCUCCACACCCCGCAUUCAUUGUGUCCAGUAAACACAACUGAUCAUGUGGAUGGUGGUCAUAAACUGCUCUUGGUCUUCCUCUCCUUUGUCCUUCAUGCAUUCUCCUUCUCUCUACCUGCCUCUCUCUCACCAACCUGUCUUCCUUGAUCCAUGUUUCCAAACAGAAUCAUUCCGAAGCUGUCUCCUUUUACUAAAAGAAGUUUGGAAUGAUUAUUUAUUUCAUUGUAUUGUAAAUAUUCUGCUAAGAUUUUCUGUAUAUUUCAAUAUGGCUACUGCAGAAAUGCACGAAAUUUGCCAUCAUUCUGUUUUGAAUGUGUUUUUAAACAUUUUUGAAAGCAGUGUGUUUGCAUUUGAUAAACAUGCUGCAAAUAUAUAGUGUUUUGCAGGUGGUGGAGUAUGAAUGAAAAAAGGGUUCAUGGAUUUUGGAAAAUGUGGUCACUGAAUGCAUUUUGGGUGAAAGCAAUGAAAAAUUAUUCACAGUUUGGUCCAUAUAUACUUCUGUUUCACUAACUGUGUGAAGAGUUUUGAUAUUGUGACUUCAGUUUUGACCAAUGCAUGUUAGCAAUAGAAAAAAAAAAAAACUGUAAUAUGGAGUAACUAACAUUUAAGACAAAAUAUGGCCAAAUAUUUUGCUUAUUUUUGCUCAGUGCUGUUAUAUUAAAUAUCAGAUCUCUUGGAAUGCUGUUUGUCUGAUUAAUGGACUGGAACUAACUGCUGAAUAAACACAGAUAGAUUUUGUGCA